CCAGGUUAGAAGUGCAGGGGAAGUUAGCAGAGAUGUUAACGUCCGAAAGGACCGCUGCAUAGGUGCUGCAUGGUUGUCGUCAGCUCGUGCCGUGAGGUGUUGGGUUAAGUCCCGCAACGAGCGCAACCCUUGUCCCUAGUUGCCAUCAUUUAGUUGGGAACUCUAGGGAGACCGCCGGUGACAAACCGGAGGAAGGUGGGGAUGACGUCAAGUCAUCAUGGCCCUUAUGACCAGGGCUACACACGUGCUACAAUGGCUGGUACAAAGGGCUGCCAACCCGCGAGGGGGAGCCAAUCCCAGAAAGCCAGUCGUAGUCCGGAUCGGAGUCUGCAACUCGACUCCGUGAAGUCGGAAUCGCUAGUAAUCGCAAAUCAGCAACGUCGCGGUGAAUACGUUCCC
rnacentral:rRNA from 1 species